rnacentral:rRNA from 1 species
UACAGAGGAGCCAAGCGUUGUCCGGAUUGACUGGGCGUAAAGCGCACGCAGGCGGAUGCGCGCGUGGGGUGGUGAAAUCUGGCCGCUUAACGGCCAGGCGCCAUCCCAUACGGCGCGUCUGGAGCCUUGCGGAGGUCGGUGGAAUUGCCGGUGUAGUGGUGAAAUGCGUAGAUAUCGGGAGGAACACCAGUGGCGAAGGCGGCUUUCUGGUCUGCUCUUGGACGCUGAGGCGCGAAAGCUAGGGUAGCAAACGGG